AAUCUGCCCUUCACUCUGGGACAAGCCCUGGAAACGGGGUCUAAUACCGGAUACGAGUUCGGUAGGCAUGUCUUGGGCUGGAAAGCUCCGGCGGUGAAGGAUGAGCCCGCGGCCUAUCAGCUUGUUGGUGGGGUAAUGGCCUACCAAGGCGACGACGGGUAGCCGGCCUGAGAGGGCGACCGGCCACACUGGGACUGAGACACGGCCCAGACUCCUACGGGAGGCAGCAGUGGGGAAUAUUGCACAAUGGGCGCAAGCCUGAUGCAGCGACGCCGCGUGAGGGAUGACGGCCUUCGGGUUGUAAACCUCUUUCAGCAGGGAAGAAGCGCAAGUGACGGUACCUGCAGAAGAAGCGCCGGCUAACUACGUGCCAGCAGCCGCGGUAAUACGUAGGGCGCAAGCGUUGUCCGGAAUUAUUGGGCGUAAAGAGCUCGUAGGCGGCUUGUCACGUCGGGUGUGAAAGCCCGGGGCUUAACCCCGGGUCUGCAUCCGAUACGGGCAGGCUAGAGUGUGGUAGGGGAGAUCGGAAUUCCUGGUGUAGCGGUGAAAUGCGCAGAUAUCAGGAGGAAACACCGGUGGC
rnacentral:rRNA from 1 species